ACCACAAGAACGCGUGGAGCAUGUGGCUUAAUUUGACUCAACGCGGGAAAUCUUACCGGGUCCGGACACACUGAGGAUUGACAGGCAAUAUCUCAUGUUAACGGUAAGUUUACUUACCGCUUAACAUCAGUGUUAAAUAUGCUAGUCCUUUCAUGAUUAUGUGAUAGGUGGUGCAUGGCCGUUCUUAGUUCGUGGAGUGAUCUGUCUGCUUAAUUGCGUUUCACUAAGGGCCCAUAAAUUCAAGGUAUGUUAGCUCUCGUCGCUCUAUGGACCCCUUAACUCCAAUAUUCUUAUUGUGUUAAGCGCGUGUCUUUAUUUUAAGAGUUUUAAGACACUGCGCAUGCUGUUGGGCUCUGAAAGCAAC
rnacentral:rRNA from 1 species